GUUGCCAUUGCUGAACUGACACAACGUGUUUCCAGCAAACUGCAAGUUUUCUUCGUAUCUUUGCAUGAUAUUGCAGACAGCCAGGAAGCCAUGAACCAGACAACCACAGGCAUAUUCGUCAUCAUACAUGAAGGAGCAGAACCCACUGAUGACUUUGAGGAUGUUGGAAUAAUUAUCGAAGGUCUUGAAGUGAUGCACAACAUUGCAAAUGCAUCUGCUAUUUUGUUUGGCACAAUGUAUGCACUGAAUUUGAGAUAUACCUUUGAGGUUCUGCAAAAGAUAGUGAUGGAACUAGAAGGAGCCAACCUUUCAAACAAGACCCAAGUAUUAAAAAACAAACUGUUUGAAGCGACAGCUUAGACUUACGAGAUGCAAUAAGUGUUUCAUGCCACAAUUUAUUUGUGUUUAUCUGAUUUUUUGUUGUUCUUUUCCUAACUAAUCCUGUUUAAAGGAAAUAUUUAAGGCACUUUGGGGUUUUUUUGUAUUUUUUGAAAAGGGACAGGCUGUUUUUCGUUGCCACCACAAUUAAAUGCAAUUUCAGUCUAUUUUCCUUUACUUUUAUCAGUGUUAUAAAGCCCAGUAUAUCAUUUUAUAUAAUUUGUUUUAUUUAAUGUUUAUAUUGUUGCUUUAUAUAAUUCAACUUUGUAUUUUGUAGCUUUGUUAAUAAAUGCAGUUUAAAAGGCA